GUCGGCAUAGUAGGUAUAGUGGUUAGUACAGCACGUUGUGGCCGUGCAGACAUGAGUUUGAUUCUCAUUGCCGACA